rnacentral:misc_RNA from 1 species
UCUCCGUUGGUGAACCAGCGGAGGGAUCGUUACAGAGUUGUCACACCUCCCAACCCUUGCGAACCGUACCUAUUCUGUUCUCGUUGCUUCCGGCGGGGGCGACCGGGGGGCCCGAAACGGGCCCCCCGCCCCGCCCGCCGGGGGCGGCGGGUCCUUCGACCCUUUAUAUCUUAACCACCAAAAAACGCAUGACUAAACAAAAAAAAUAAUCAAAAUCUUCAAUCAAGGAUCUCUUGACUCUGGCGUCGAUGAACAACGCAGCAGACCGGAAGCGCACAC